rnacentral:misc_RNA from 1 species
ACCUUCUCUUGAUAUACCAGCAUGUGUACUGCCGUUGUAAGCAUACCUCUAAAAGAUAAAGUAUGCUACUAUGACCCCAAACUCAUACACAUCAGGUCAAAGUGCAGCCCAUAAGAAGGUGAUGAUGGGUUACAACCCAAAACCAGAUUAUCAACUAAGAAAUAAAAAAUCUUACGAAAGUGGACUUGGUUGUAAUUAAUUUACAAGUUAAAUAAAUGAAUAAAAAUCUAAGGCAUGCACACAUCGCCCGUCACUCUAUCCCAAAGGAUAGAUAAGUCGUAACAAAGUAGGUGUAAUGGAAAUUGCACCUGUCGAAGUAUAGCAUAUAAAAUGCUUUUUACUUACACUAAAAAUAAAGUCAUUGACUUACCUCGCCCAAGACACAUAAUCUUUAAAAUAACAGAUAACAAAAACAAUCACACUAAAGAAAUAUACAAGUACAGAAAUGGAAAAAAUAAUAAAUAAAAGUAAAUUUUAAUAAAUGUACCUUGUGCAUUAUGGUUUUACAAGAAUAUAAUUAAAAAUAAAGAUCCCGAAUUCUAAGUGAGAUGUUGAACUGCUGCUAAGAGCCCAUUAGUAACUGUAGAAAAAGCUUUAAAAGACAGUUUAACAGAGGCUACAUACCAUCCGCAUAAGAAUAUAGCUGGUUUUCAACAAACAUUAUACAUUAAGACAUAUAAUGACAUUAUAGUGUAAUAUUAUUGAGGAUAAGCCCAAUAAUAUUAGUAAUAUUAAUAUUAACCCAAUCUAAUAUAUAGGCCUAAAAUCAGCCAACCAAAAUACUUUACCGUAAUAGAUAGAGGUAAAAUAAAUAUAUUAAUAUACUAAAUACAGUUGAAAUAGUGGAUAAACCAAAUACCCCACUUAUACUAUGUAAAAAUAAGUAUUAUAAAACUAUAACAACACUAAUCAAGAAUUAACAAUCUAUAGCUUAAUAAUAUUUAAUUAAGGAACUCGGCAAACUAGUAUUUCGACUGUUUAACAAAAACAUUGUCUCAUGAAUAAAAUAUGAGAUAGCUCCUGCC